rnacentral:lncRNA from 1 species
AGAGUCCUGGUGGACCUGAGAUUUGGGGAAGAUGCAGACACACCGAACCCUAGUGUUGUUUACCUCUGGGGAUGCUAUUGGAGUAACAAAGAUUCGUUUGGUGGCCCAUUGAUCUGAAUUGCAAGAAACAGAAGCCAUAUUCAAAUAGAAUAUUAAAAAUUACCAAGAAAAAAUUUUAAUAUGGAAAUAAAAAUGAGUAAAGACACAUACAUUUUCCCAAGAAGAUAUGAUUUACAAGAAGAUAUGAUUUACAAGGUUCUUGGAGUCUGUGCUCUGCUUAGGCCUUCCCUGGCCUGUCCAGGAAUCGUGUCCAUUCUCAACUAUGAAUCCUGGAGAUUCCACCUCCUUCUAGUCUCCAGACAAUUCAACCCAGGACUGUUAUCAGACUCCAUGGACUCUCUGAGGAAAUGCUGCUUCAGAUGGAGGAGGAAGGACCUCUGGUGCCAGCUGGUUUUGCAGCUAUGACCUCUAAUCACGUGCUUAAAAUCCGUCUGUCAAAGAACAUGGGGUUGCAUUACAAACAUCAAAAACUAUUUGAGUAUCCGUCACAUACAAGGCCCUUGGGAAGAGUAAACGCACAGGAUUUGUAACGAGACUCAGUUACAGUUGCAGUAAAGGUGAGAAUUGCAAUAAAACCCAAAGCCAAAGCUCA